CGCACAGUAAACGAUGAAUACUAGCUGUAGGCGAUAGACGGUCUGCGGCGCAAGCGAAAGCGUUAAGUAUUCCACCUGGGGAGUACGCCGGCAACGGUGAAACUCAAAGGAAUUGACGGGGGCCCGCACAAGCGGAGGAACAUGUGGUUUAAUUCGAUGAUACGCGAGGAACCUUACCCGGGCUUGAAUUGCAGAGGAAUGUUGGAGAGAUCCUUCAGCCGCAAGGUCUCUGUGAAGGUGC
rnacentral:rRNA from 1 species